AGACGAUGGAUAGGAGCUGACGCCUGCCCGGUGCUGGAAGGUUAAGGGGAUCUGUUAGAGUAAUCGAAGCAGGGAACUUAAGCCCCAGUAAACAGCGGCCGUAACUAUAACGGUCCUAAGGUAUCGACAUUCCUUGUCGGGUAAGUUCCGACCAGCACGAAAGGCGUAACGAUUUGGGCACUGUCUCAACAACAGACUCGGUGAACUUGUAAUUCCGUUAAAGAUGCCGGCUACCUGCGACAGGACGGAAAGAACCCAUGGAGCUUUACUGUAGCUUGACAUUGGGUCUUGGUACUACCUGUACAGGAUAGGUGGGAGGCUUUGAAACCCGGACGCCAGUUUUGGCGGAGCCAUCCUUUGGAUACCACCCUUGUAGUACUUGGACUCUAACCAUAGUCCAUGACACUGUGCGUGGGACACUGCCAGGAGGGCAGGUUUCCGGCGGCGGUCCGUCCCCGACACGUACCCGAGUCGCUACAUGGUUCUC
rnacentral:rRNA from 1 species